AUAAUAGCAGCGUUCCCAUUUCGGUGUCAAGUUGUUUUUCUUGUUAAGUAAGACUUCAGGACAGAUACAGCUAUACAAGAUUCAUGUUGUCAUGCACCAUGGAUAGUCAAAAGACACAAGCUAGUCAGUACAACCCAGGUAAGGCAGGUCAAUGGCAGGAGGGGAAGGGAGGAAAAUUAGAGAGAAGUUGCAGAUUUUGGAGAGAAUGGGGUGUUCUGAUCCGUGUUCUGAUUGUGAGAUCGACAGGAGCAAAAGCAGGUCCUGUAUAUCCAGGAAAACAUAAACUUUAGAUGAAAUGUCCUUUCAUCUUUCUUCAAGGAUCGGAAUACUGUCAUCAGCUCUUCUAGCUGUAAUUUCAGUGUUGAUCUUGGCCGAUGGAAUCACAUAAAUCAACCACGGAACGCGUUUCUUGUCAAUCAUGCAGGCUAUUGGAGGCUUAGUCCUAGAUGUCUUCUGUACGCUAAGGCUUUGCGCUAUGCGUUUCACUGCAAGUAUCCAAUAUUGCACAUUUGCAUGAAGAAAACAGUCACAGUUUACCUUCUAAAAUAUACGUGGAUUAAUUAGUUCCAUGAAGCUGUAUUGGAUUUUCCUUUGUGGGUAAA